rnacentral:lncRNA from 1 species
GGGAAAAAGGUUCUCCGGAGGAGGGUAGUUCUCUUUAAAUGCUACUUAGCUUCAGGUUCAAGUGAGCUCCUAGGCUGCUUGCUCCUCUCUGGUUCUGACUUGAAGCCUUGAGCAAGGCCCCUUUCCUAGUUGUUCAAGUCACACAUCCUAAAAUCCUGCAGCUGUUCCCCCAAGAUUGCCAGCAAGAUAACAGCUAUAAAACUUAAACUGUAAGAUGCAAAGCUUUGCACAUUUUCUCAGUUCCAACCCAGCAAAAAUCUUUGCGUCCUUCCCCGCUUCCUAAGGCCUGCUGCUCUGUUGGAUUUUAUGACUGUUCACAGGGAAAGGAGAAGAUUCUGCAGACCAGUUGGGCUUACCACGUGUCUCAGUUUCUUUGGGACCCACGACUUGCCCAGGACGGACUUGAUUGAGAAAUGCUGUGUUGGUUUCAAAGGACAGCAAAGGCAGGAAGGGCCGUCUUUGAAUUUCAGAAUAUACAGAGUGGGGACACCCAGUUGUUUUGAUUCCGAGCAAAGUCCGAACAUGAAAGGCAGACCCUGCAGGAAUGCAUUAGCAGGGAAACCCCAGCAGAGACCUAAGGUGAUUGUGAACUCAUCUUCUCUAUGAACAGUUUCUCCAAACGAGAUGUGACAAGGGUGCUAUGACUGUAGCGUGAGGGAGGGGUUGGGAGAAGAAAAUCUUCUGAAGAAGCUUCGUCACCCUCUCUCAGCUCCCUGAUUUGUAGCCAACACUGAAUGAGGAGAAGUGAACUGUCCUGUGGUGGGACUUCUGGCAGCCUUUCUCACUUGGUCAGAAAGAGGCAUUGCUAAUAUCUGCAUUAAAAACUCACCCUGCUUCGACUGGAAGCUGACCUAAGGUGGCUGUCCCAUUGGAACAAAUGUAACAAAGAUUCACAUAUAGACAUCAAUAACUGAUAAAGAAUUAGCCAUAAGUAUGCACUCCAAGACAUGGAAAUACGUCUCAAACUACCAUGACCGUCCUGUCACGAAGGCAAGGCUGUCACCACAUUGUUCACAAAUGCUUGGCCCAGUGUAAUCUCAAGUGACAAAAGGGAAUAGGCUGUCAUCACCCGCAUAGACAACGCUCCGUUGUGAUAGAACGAAUAGACUUUUAGGAGACAUCCUGAUACUCAAUAUAUGGUUUCCUUCCAAUAGCAUUGUCUGUUGCUUGCUCGUUUUAAACACAACUUAAUCGAUGCUGUGAAACUAAAUCCCAUUUUCUAGCUCCUGUAAGAAUUCAGUGCUUCUGGGUUUGAGCUUUGUUUUCUUAGUGACAUCAGUUUGUUUUAACAUUCCCAUUAGGGAUUCUUUUGUGAGGGGAGAUGUAAAUUAGGUUUUACUUUGUUUAUUCUGAGUUUGUCGUGAGCAGAAGUUUGAUGAAAUAAUCUUUGAAAAUCCAGAAGACCCUACACACUAUGGUAGCAUAAUCCAGUUUCCCCCUCACUAUUGCAUCUGACGUCCUUCUGAAAAAAAAAAAAUGAAUAUUUUAGGCAGGAGACAAACACGAGGGAAAGAAGAGGUUUGGGGGUGAAACUGGGGACAAAUGAGAACUCCAGUGCUUCGGUGAAAUGUAUCUGCUCGCUCGGUGUACCAGUUCUCAAUCUUCCAGCUUCCCCUGCUUUUCCACCCCAUUUGACUCCCCCACCUGCAAGGUCAGCUGCUCCAAGGAGCAAUUUAUAAACUUGCAGCUCAUAUUGUGGUUGCAGUUCCAGGACUGACAUGAAAUUAAAUCAGUCUUGAGUGCUGUAGGAUGCAAAAGCUACCUUCCGAGUUUACUGAGCCCUCCACGACUCCUAAUAAAUCUUGGAAAGGUAGCAUUCCACCAGUAAAUGCCCAGCGUCUCUCCUCACAAAAGGACCUUGAAAUGGAAACAACGAAGUUUUCUUUGAGGCCAUAUUUCAUACCACGGAGAGGGAGACGUACAUGGAAGCCGCAUUCUUAAGCACCCUUUUCCAGCUCUGCAACAGGCGCUUUGUGAGACAAUGUUAAAUGAGCCCUUAACUUGCUCCUCCACGUUCCCAACUGCUGGGGCCGCGUGGUAUGAAAACAUCCGUGAAAAGUUGACUGUACUCACAAAGUUUCAUUAUUGUUUUUCAAGAGCAGAAGGUGAGUCUUUAAAAGGUCAAUGAGCCUAUAAAUAUGGCUUUGCUACAAAUGUGUCACCCCUCAAUUUCCAG